rfam:Populus trichocarpa scaffold_11_contig_18, whole genome shotgun sequence.
CUUUUUAGUGUUAAACGUCAACAUUUUAGACGAAUCUCUUAUUUUUUAGGGACUGAUGUCAUUUUUUUACAUGUCUAUGAACA